rnacentral:piRNA from 1 species
CUCAAAAGUUUGGGAAAGGUGCACUCAUGU